AAAGGUGGACUAAAAAAGGAGUGCGUGCUCUGCGCUCGUCUGUCAUGCUCAUGCAUGAUGGUUCCCUUCCCUCCUUGAGUUGAGCUCCCAUCUGCUUGACACUGUGAAUCUAUCUAUCUAUCUAUCUAUCUAUCGAUCGCACUAUGGCUCUCACUCUGCCUUCUCGUUUUCUUCUCACUCGGUCGCUCCGCAUUUUCUCGGCAGAGAAAUUGAGGACGGAAUUCUGCAACUGCGAAGGUCGAGCGAGGUCGUGGCGGUUUUUACCAGCUGUGUAACGCGACGCCCCGUCAGUGUAGAAAACCCACCCACCCCAUACCACUACUGCUACUGUACUUGCAAUUCACUAUCAGUCCCCAUACCGCUACUCUUUCAGAUUUCGUAUUAAUUUGUGAUUCUGCCAAAUGGGGGCGGGGCCGCAUUGAUCCUUCCUCACCCGGCAUUGCAACCAUGGAGCUCCUCGCCGACAGUGACGCCUUGCACUAUCUCUAUUCUCCUCCGCUCACUGGGUAUGGGUCUCCAGCUAGCUACAAGCAUGUGCUUGUGCAUCAUGGCUAGUUCCGAAGCCCAGGCUUUGUUUGAACGCUAUCUGUAAUGUAUGAUUAUCAUGAUAUAAUAUGACUUCUCGCUCUUUAUCUUUCUCAUCAAUUCUUCACCCAGGCGUCUCUUUGCUUUCCCCGACUUAGAUCAUUUCAUCUCCGCAAUCGUGUUUCCAUGUUGGAUAUUAUUUGAUUGGACAACUUUCUCUGGCUUCCUGCACGAGUGGUGGUGGUAAUGAUGAUGAGCGCUUCCGAGCAGAUUAAUGCCUCUCUGUCAAGACACUCCACAUUGAUUGAGGAAAGAGUUCAAACUUUGGCUGUCAGUCUCAGUGCCAGUAAUGGAUUAACUUUGAGACACUUUCCAGCACCGUCAGGGAUGUGGCCUUUGGUGGUGAUCACUGUUUAUGGAGCAAUCUUUUUCACCACCAAUUUCUUGACAACCUAGCUCUCAGCCUUUUGUUUGAUCUUCCAGUCACAGCUAACUCAUCAAACCUCCAAGAAUCUCCUAUUUUCUCUGUAUCAACAGAAUCCUGGGACGUCCAUGUCACCCUUGUACUCUUCUAGAAUAAUGACUGAAUCAAGUCCACUUGGAGUUGCCUACUGAAAUUCUGUGAUAUUAAACAGGGAGCAGAGCCUGUGCCUCAGAGCUCAGCCCUCGCUUUUUGAGGUCAUUGCAGCAAAUAAAUGAGAGUGAUCUUAGAGCAAAGAUGCCACUAAAUGAGAAUGAUGAAGCUGAUGUUCCCUCUAGCACCUCGCUUGAACAUAUUUCAGCUGCUAAUAAAGAAGAAGGUAAAUUUUCAAUUACCUAUGGAAAGUCGUUUAUUCAUUUUAUUCUAAAACAAGGGGGCAUUCAUGGCUACGCAUGGAAAUUAUCUACAGGUAUUAAAUUGGAAGAUACAUGCAUAGCGGCAGGAGAAGUUUUUGAAUAGCGAGAGCGUCUAGAUGAUUUCUUCGUCUCUCUUAAAAUGAUUUCCAUGUGCUAUGUGUUUUUAUUUUGGCGGAUCUUCUGUCUGCUAUGUGAAAUUUCUCUUCUGUACAGCUGACUUUAAGUGCUUUAUUCCAGAAAAAAUAUGUUCCAUGUCAAACCGAGUUAUAUUGGAACUUUUUGCAAUUCUGACUUUGUCUGAGGAUAAUUAUGAAAAUUUGAUCAUGGUUUGUGAAGUUCUGGAAUCUUGCAGAAAAAAAUAGGAGAGAUAUUCUAGAAGUGAAUAGUUGAACAUAACCUUUAGCACUGAAGGAGUUGCGUGGACCAGUCCUAGCAAGUUUGUGAAGCUGCUGAAACGAUGCCCUUUUUGGCAUAUCUGUCUUAAUGCACGCACCCUAUAGUUUCCUUUUCCUAAAAUUUCUUUUGUAUUUCUGUUGCUAGCGUAGAACUAAAUAGUGGGAUUCCUACUCGCGAAUGAUCAUAACCUUCUUUGGGUUUUUCUUUUUUUAAAUUGUUAGAAUGGUUCUUUUGGGCUUUGUUCUGAUGCAAAAUUUUCCAAUGUGAACAUUUUAUGUACUCAUCUUAAAAGAUGAGACUCCUAUGCUCAGUCCUUGGACUUGCAUCAUCAUUUCCAUGUUUGUGUUUGCCUGUAAGUUUUCUGCAAGAAGUUGAAUUGGUGCAUCUUAAUAUUAGUAGUUUUUGCAUUCAAAAUGUUAAUAAUUCAAUGCCUUUGUCGGAACUUGGACGUGGUAUUUUUGGAUGGAAUGCGCCAACUUUUCCAGAUCCAUCUGAUGACAAAUUGUUAGUUCUUGCCACUGGCUCUGUCUUACGUCACAUGCAUCUUACACAUGUUUAUUUCUCUUUCUGCCUGUAUUUCAUUCUAAACGAACAAAAUCAUUUUUCUGCUUCCAUCAGUAUUGUUCUGAUAUUGAGAUUCUCUUUCCUUUUUGAUGUUAGAAUAAAAGGGAAGUGUUCGAAAGGCUCAAGACACAAUAUUAUGUUUCUUGCCAAAACAGAAGGGGAAAAAACUAUAUGUUGCUUUUAGUUUUGAUGGCUUAUGUUCUUUCAAAGAACUGCCUCUUUGUUUUUGUUGCUUGUGAUGGCCGAGAAUUACAAAUGGUUUCUAGUUUAUCAAUAAAAUUUCCUUGUAUUCACAUUUUUUCGGGGAUAUUUACUAAUAGCAAGCUCACCUUACCACAAUUAUUAGCAAAUAUAAGAGCGCAAGUAGGAUGAAUGACAUAUGUCUGAUAGACAAGUAAGUCUGAUCGACUCCUGCCACGUCAUUCAAUGGUAAAAAAGGUUCUUGCUUAGCAUAAGUCUGCAGAUAUUUGCUAAAGAAUAAUGGGGUAAAAGUAUAUAUCAACAGACCUCGGAAAGCUAGACUUGGUUCUCCAUCGAUGUGGCAUCUGGUAGUUAUGAUAUAUUGAUACAAGCAAUUUACAGAAAGACUAUGAUGAGGAUGAGAUUAUUUGCUCAGAGGUAAUGGGAUAAAAGUAUCAACGCGACCUUGGGAAACAAGACUCUGUUUAUCUGUCGAUGCGGCAUGUGGUAGUUACUAUAUGAUACAAACAAUUUACUAAGAGUGUAAUCAGGACGAGAUAUUUAUUAGUCUUUGAUGUUCAAAUGCAUUGUCUUUAAUUGUUGAUAAAAUGGGUAAACGACACUGUUACUCUGAGGUACUUUGUGUUCCAUAAUAAUUAUUUGUUACUACUUAUCCAUUUUCAUCAGCUGUGAAAUCUAUAUAGGGUUUUCCAGUUUCUUCAAUAGCCAAAUUCUUGCUUAGGGCAAUGAUACUUAAAAGGUACUACAUUUUCUUUUAUUGGAAAUUACAAAUUACAUUGUGACAGUAUGUCCUGAACUCGCAGCAUGAUACGUCUAUCGUGGUUAACUCCAUCUACAUACACUGGUCCAUGAUGUUGACGACCAGUAGAGGAAACUGUGUUGCCUUGGAUGGUGAUCCAUCUAGUUGUUGGAGAGUAUCAUUCUAUUAAUAGACUCUAGCCUAGUAAUACGGUUAAGGAUGUAAUAGUCUUUUAUAGGAGAUCCCAUAUAUUUAUGUUCAUCGGGCAAAAUAGUUAUGAUCGCGUAUAAUGUUGAAAAGCAUUCAAACUAGUUUUAUAAUCCUGAGGAGCUUCAAGUCUAACUGUCUUUUUACAGAUGUCAAUAUGGAAACUGUUUACGUGGCAGAAGUUGAUGCAUGGAUUGAUGGCUUGCAAAACAUUGAGUUAUCUUUUUGCUUCAAGUCGCCAAAAUGUUCAUCUCCUUUUCCCAAAGGUUGUUUCUCAUACAGUAUUCAUUGAAUAUUGAGUGCAGGUACUGUGACCUGUAAUGUGGAGCCAUUUCCAGUUGUUGGAAACAUAAAGAUAUCUACAUGGAUCCAGUGCAUUGAGGCUUUGAGUGAAAGCAGUCUAUACAGGGAGUUCUCUGGCAUUGUAUGAGUUGCAAGUGGCAGACGGACUAUAAUUUUCCAGGUUGUUGGAUUGCCCCUUUGAUCAGGGUCAACCGUAGGACUGGGGAUUACUUGUUAGUGAUUGGUAAAUGGUUCAAAACAAAAUCCGAGGAACAGGGACUGAAUUGAAGAUUUAUUUGGUCAUUUAUUGAUUAUUCAAAGGUAGUAAUCUUACAGUAAAAGAAACACUUCCACAUUGACCAGCGCAACUUCUUUUUUUUUUUUUUGGGAUAAGUGACCCGUGCAACCUGAGGCAAUACUAUUGGUGUUGUAGCUACCAUAUCUUAGACCCUGUAGGCUGGGGAUAAGUUGGACAAUAACUCCUUUCAAAUACUGAAUAUGAACCACGUCAAAUGCAUGGAAUAAUGUGCUUCGUCCAGAAUAUUUGGAGACAUGACCAAGCCACCUCAAUUUUCACUCCUGUUUGGCUUGUCUGAGGCAAUUAAAUCCUGAUCUGGUGCAGAUUUCUGGCUCACCGUGUCAGCAGCGGAGGGAAUCCAAUCGUUGGUUGCUGGAUUGCCCUUGCAGGAGGCAUGAAGUCCUGUGGAAGUAUCAGGUGUGAGAUUGAAACUUCCAUCACUUGAAUUAUCCACCUUUAUAAAGCCGGUUCCAGUCUGAAAUGAAACAAGCAGAUAGAUUAGUGUAAUCAACCUUCUAAUUUCUGCUCGCAAUUUGCAUUACCUGAUUACACAUGUAACUCUUUUGCCUUAUUUAAUGCGUUUUCUGAUUCCUAUCUAGAUCGAUAAGAUAAACAGCUGAGCUUUUUCAAGCUAACAAUGUUCUGGUCAGGAAUCUUAAUUGAAACUGCAUUAACCGGUAGAUCGUCUUGCAUUAACACUAAAACUUCUGGGUUCAGGUAAAAGAAAAAAGGAUAAACUGGAAAGAUUUCGAAAAUUAGGUAGGUGUCGGGAAAGGUCUUAGUAUCCCCGUGUGGUUUUAUUCAUUAUUAUCAUGACUUUGGCAAAGGUUGUUGAACCCAAUUAUACCUACCUGGUGGUGUUGCUUGUCAACGUUGUUGAGAUCCUUGUAGUAGGCAGUCUCCAUAAAUUCCUCCUCCACUUGGCUUCCACUGUAAUUCAGUUUCUGCUUUCAAAAGUCCCAAAAGCAGAUCCAGGCAAUGGUUUGACAGAUGGAAGCUGAUUAGUAUCAGUAAAGCUGUUAUUCGCUGUGCAUUGUUGUAGUUUAGUAGCACUUUUUUAUUUGGAAUUAUUCCAGCACGUAUUCAAUGUGCCGACAUAAUAAUGAAACUUUUCGACAGUGUUACUAAUGCAGUGCUCGUGAUUACAGACAAAUAUAGAAAGGUAACAGACUUAUCAGAGUAUAUGAUUGCUCAGUGUACGUAUUUGUGCUUACAUGAGAUGCCCGCAUUGAAUCUAUUCAUUGACAGAGACUUGAUUAUAUGCCAAGGUACGUAUACAGACCUGAGUACUACCCUCGAGGCGUUGGAACUCCACCAACUCCGGUGUAGGAUUGUCAACGCCAUUACUGGACAGUGCAUCAACAUAGUUGGAAGAAUCCUCGCUCCUCCGCGGCUUGGUAUGGCGCUUGGGAGCGAUACCGUCAAAGUAAUCUCUCGUCUCCUCCUCUGCUUUCACCUCUUCAUCCCUCGAUAAAUGAACAUCGCUUCUGUUAGGCCUCCUGAAGGAUUCCAUCUCUCUAGUGUCAAUCGAUUUCCUAAGGUACUCCUCUCUGUUAGUUUCCAACUGGGGAUAAGGUUUGAUGCAUAGAAGGUCCCAUGUUGGUUGAACUUAUAGAGAGACUCCUAUUAGCUGUUGCUUAGAUAUUUCUGUGCGCUUGUUAGCUGUUGGGUGUACGGAAGGUUGCAGCCAUGGGACCACUAAUGUUGACACUUGAAUAAAAUAUCUGCUCGCUUUUAUCCAAAUGAAAUGGUGGUGGUAUUAAAAAAAAAAAAUGGAGAUAUUUUUAGCAGGAAAAUUGGUUCGAAGUUGCUGACUUUAUUUUAGAUCUGUGCUGCUGUCACGUGAUAGAUACGAUAAAUGAAGGAAAUUCUUCGUUGUGCAUGAGCUUCACUCCUCUCUUCGUAAGUAAACAUUCGCUGCGGAUGUUUGGCAGCUGAAACGGAGGAGACACUAGCUUCGCCAUCGCCAUCGCCAUCCGGUGACGACAUGAUUGGAUGGCUUGGCAUUCUAAGUCAGAGGCUUCUCCAGUUAGAGAUUCUUCCAUGGGCGAUACGAGGAUGCCUUUCUUGCGGAUACUCACCAUGCAGCAUCUUUUCCUCUUAUAGCUCGCUUUCGUUUAUCCGCCAGAAUGAGCUUGAGAUGAGAAAAGGCCAAGCUCCGGAGGCACUGGAGCCUGGAUCAGCUGCUCCUUCAGAGGGCAGUGCGUUAGUUGAGUCGAUAGUUGCUGGUGUUAAUACUGGUCGAAUUGAAGAGCCAACUCCCAGCCAGUGGACUUGAUUCGGUCAUGAUUCUUGAAGAUACAGAAGUCCAUGUGGACGUCCAGGUUCUGUUGAUACAGAGGAGGGAGUAGAUUCUUCGGCGGAUUUUUAUUUUCACUUUCCCUUUUUUUCAUGUACUAUAUAGUAUAUGCUAUCACAUAUAAUAUAAUUGGGAACCAUAUAUGAUAAUUUGGCAAUAGAGUAUGGCGUGGCAAUAGAAUGGUGUGAUUCAUGUUCCGACGGUAUGACCUCUCUUUGAUUCUUAGGCUGCAUUUGAUUUUUGCAAAUUCUGUGAAUUUGGAUUGGCUUUGAAUCCAGAUCGGGUCCAAUGGAUUGGCCUGACUCUGAAUUGACUCGGGUCCAAAGUAGCAACCCGAGCAUUGGAAACUCAUGCUAUGAGCCUGCUUUUAGAUGAAGUGACAAUCCAAUGGGGGGCAGUACUGUAGUAGCUACUAGCUGGUUCGCUUCACGUGACGGGACUUGUCCAUCACGUGACUUCCUCUGUGCUAUAGCCUAUAGUCAAACUCUCUUGAGGUUUGAACUUUACAGCCAGUCGUUCAUCCGACCGUACACGUGUCCCCUGAGUUGCUCAAACAACGAAUGAUGAAUGAGAAUGAUUGGUAUGCAACUGGGAGUUGUUGCUCCCCAAUUUUCAGUCAGACUUUCAAAGCCCUCACUUCCUUCCUUUGCUUCCUCUCCCUCCCGUUAAUGGCGGUUUCCUCGGCGAGGUAGGUGGGGUUUCUGCGUGUUGGCCUUGGCCCGAAGGAGAAGGAAGCUGUCUGAGCAGUAACAGUGACCGCAAAAAAAAAAAAAAAAAAAAAAAAGGCCAGAACUUAUUGCUCACAAUCCGGAAGAAGAAGAAAGAAAAAUUCACUUGCGAUCCAUCAAGCUCACAAGGGAAGAACCCAGCAGCAUGUGGACCCUUUUGUCCUGUGUGCUGAGAUGUAUGGUAUGGUGGACGGGGUAGCCGGUAAUAUUAUAUUAACUUUCAUGCCCCAAUCUGCUGCAGUUCACUGUUAAUGCUU